UACAAGUGCAAUUGUGGAUUUUCAUGUCUAACGCCUAUUUUAUUUAAUUUUUUUAUAGUUAGCAUUUUAAUUGUUAUUAGAUGAUAAAACAUAUAUAAUACUUUAUGUGUGACUUACUUUUUUAAUUUUUUUUAUAAACUUUUUAAAUAGAUCGAGCGGUCAAACAUAGGAUACAAAAACCGACAACUACACUUAAA
rnacentral:pre_miRNA from 1 species